GAGCUUGCUCCCGGAUGUUAGCGGCGGACGGGUGAGUAACACGUGGGUAACCUGCCUGUAAGACUGGGAUAACUCCGGGAAACCGGAGCUAAUACCGGAUAGUUCCUUGAACCGCAUGGUUCAAGGAUGAAAGACGGUUUCGGCUGUCACUUACAGAUGGACCCGCGGCGCAUUAGCUAGUUGGUGAGGUAACGGCUCACCAAGGCGACGAUGCGUAGCCGACCUGAGAGGGUGAUCGGCCACACUGGGACUGAGACACGGCCCAGACUCCUACGGGAGGCAGCAGUAGGGAAUCUUCCGCAAUGGACGAAAGUCUGACGGAGCAACGCCGCGUGAGUGAUGAAGGUUUUCGGAUCGUAAAGCUCUGUUGUUAGGGAAGAACAAGUGCAAGAGUAACUGCUUGCACCUUGACGGUACCUAACCAGAAAGCCACGGCUAACUACGUGCCAGCAGCCGCGGUAAUACGUAGGUGGCAAGCGUUGUCCGGAAUUAUUGGGCGUAAAGGGCUCGCAGGCGGUUUCUUAAGUCUGAUGUGAAAGCCCCCGGCUCAACCGGGGAGGGUCAUUGGAAACUGGGAAACUUGAGUGCAGAAGAGGAGAGUGGAAUUCCACGUGUAGCGGUGAAAUGCGUAGAGAUGUGGAGGAACACCAGUGGCGAAGGCGACUCUCUGGUCUGUAACUGACGCUGAGGAGCGAAAGCGUGGGGAGCGAACAGGAUUAGAUACCCUGGUAGUCCACGCCGUAAACGAUGAGUGCUAAGUGUUAGGGGGUUUCCGCCCCUUAGUGCUGCAGCU
rnacentral:rRNA from 1 species